rnacentral:tRNA from 1 species
AAGACUUUAAGUUAUUAAAAACUCUAGGCCUUCAAAGCCUGAAAUGGGUUAUCAAGCCCAAGUCUUG